rnacentral:rRNA from 1 species
UACAGAGGGGGCAAGCGUUGUUCGGAAUUACUGGGCGUAAAGGGCGCGUAGGCGGCCACCGCAAGUCGACUGUGAAAUCUCCGGGCUUAACUCGGAAAGGUCAGCCGAUACUGCGGGGCUAGAGUGCAGAAGGGGCAACUGGAAUUCUCGGUGUAGCGGUGAAAUGCGUAGAUAUCGAGAGGAACACCUGCGGCGAAGGCGGGUUGCUGGGCUGACACUGACGCUGAUGCGCGAAAGCUAGGGGAGCGAACGGG